GUUGUUCUGUCUCAACCUUAAUCUCUAUAACUUGUCAUCAUUCCAUUCCUUUCAACCUAUUCUUCCUGGAUAUAACUCAGCAUCUCAACGGGUGAUGUUUCUCGAUUACAUUAACCUAUUAACGAUAAUCAUCAUUGAUCUUUAGUUAAAAACAGGCUCUUGCAGAAAAAGGAAAAGCGACACUAAAGGUAAAUAAGGAAUAAUUGUAGUAAACUAGUUUUUAGUGAACAGAGUCUGAGUAUUGCAUAUAACUUCAAUAGGAUAAGUAGACUGACAAAUCAAGUACUGGUCUUCGGAAGGG
rnacentral:lncRNA from 1 species